GUUGAACGCUGGCGGCGUGCUUAACACAUGCAAGUCGAGCGGUAACAGGCGUAGCAAUACGUGCUGACGAGCGGCGAACGGGUGCGUAAUACAUCGGAAUCUGCCUCGUAGUGGGGAAUAACCCGGCGAAAGCCGGGCUAAUGCCGCAUACGAUCCACGGAUGAAAGCGGGGGACCUUCGGGCCUCGCGCUAUGAGAUGAGCCGAUGUCGGAUUAGCUAGUUGGNGAGGUAACGGCUCACCAAGGCGACGAUCCGUAGCUGGUCUGAGAGGACGGCCAGCCACACUGGGACUGAGACACGGCCCA
rnacentral:rRNA from 1 species